rnacentral:rRNA from 1 species
GGAGGAAAAGAAACUAACAAGGAUUCCCCUAGUAACUGCGAGUGAAGCGGGAUGAGCUCAAAUUUAAAAUCUGGCGUCUUCGGCGUCCGAGUUGUAAUUUAGAGAAGCGUUUUCCGCGCUGGACCGUGUACAAGUCUCCUGGAACGGAGCGUCAUAGAGGGUGAGAAUCCCGUCUUUGACACGGACCCCCAGUGCUCUGUGAUACGCUCUCGAAGAGUCGAGUUGUUUGGGAAUGCAGCUCAAAAUGGGUGGUGAACUCCAUCUAAAGCUAAAUAUUGGCGAGAGACCGAUAGCGAACAAGUACCGUGAGGGAAAGAUGAAAAGCACUUUGGAAAGAGAGUGAAACAGUACGUGAAAUUGUUGAAAGGGAAACGCUUGAAGUCAGUCGCGUUUGCCGAGACUCACCCUUCGGGUGUACUUCUCGGUGAACGGGCCAGCAUCACUUUCGAUCAUCGGAGAAGGGCGAGGGGAAUGUGGCACCUCCGGGUGUGUUAUAGCCUCUUGUCGUAUACGGUGACCGGGAGUGAGGACCGCCUUUGUAGGAUGCUGGCGUAAUGGCUUUAAACGACCCGUCUUGAAACACGGACC